AACAUUUCACAACACGAGCUGACGACAGCCAUGCAGCACCUGUCUCAGCGUUCCCGAAGGCACCAAUCCAUCUCUGGAAAGUUCGCUGGAUGUCAAGAGUAGGUAAGGUUCUUCGCGUUGCAUCGAAUUAAACCACAUGCUCCACCGCUUGUGCGGGCCCCCGUCAAUUCAUUUGAGUUUUAACCUUGCGGCCGUACUCCCCAGGCGGUCGACUUAACGCGUUAGCUCCGGAAGCCACUCCUCAAGGGAACAACCUCCAAGUCGACAUCGUUUACGGCGUGGACUACCAGGGUAUCUAAUCCUGUUUGCUCCCCACGCUUUCGCACCUGAGCGUCAGUCUUUGUCCAGGGGGCCGCCUUCGCCACCGGUAUUCCUCCAGAUCUCUACGCAUUUCACCGCUACACCUGGAAUUCUACCCCCCUCUACAAGACUCAAGCCUGCCAGUUUCAAAUGCAGUUCCCAGGUUAAGCCCGGGGAUUUCACAUCUGACUUAACAGACCGCCUGCGUGCGCUUUACGCCCAGUAAUUCCGAUUAACGCUUGCACCCUCCGUAUUACCGCGGCUGCUGGCACGGAGUUAGCCGGUGCUUCUUCUGCGGGUAACGUCAAUCGACGCGGUUAUUAACCGCAUCGCCUUCCUCCCCGCUGAAAGUACUUUACAACCCGAAGGCCUUCUUCAUACACGCGGCAUGGCUGCAUCAGGCUUGCGCCCAUUGUGCAAUAUUCCCCACUGCUGCCUCCCGUAGGAGUCUGGACCGUGUCUCAGUUCCAGUGUGGCUGGUCAUCCUCUCAGACCAGCUAGGGAUCGUCGCCUAGGUGGGCCAUUACCCCGCCUACUAGCUAAUCCCAUCUGGGUUCAUCCGAUAGUGAGAGGCCCGAAGGUCCCCCUCUUUGGUCUUGCGACGUUAUGCGGUAUUAGCCACCGUUUCCAGUGGUUAUUCCCCUCUAUCGGGCAGAUCCCCAGACAUUACUCACCCGUCCGCCACUCGUCACCCAAGAGCAAGCUCUCUGUGCUACCGUCC
rnacentral:rRNA from 1 species